AUUGAACGCUGGCGGCAUGCCUUACACAUGCAAGUCGAACGGUAACAGGUCUUCGGAUGCUGACGAGUGGCGAACGGGUGAGUAAUACAUCGGAACGUGCCCGAUCGUGGGGGAUAACGAAGCGAAAGCUUUGCUAAUACCGCAUAAGAUCUACGGAUGAAAGCAGGGGACCGCAAGGCCUUGCGCGAACGGAGCGGCCGAUGGCAGAUUAGGUAGUUGGUGGGAUAAAAGCUUACCAAGCCGACGAUCUGUAGCUGGUCUGAGAGGACGACCAGCCACACUGGGACUGAGACACGGCCUAGACUCCUACGGGAGGCAGCAGUGGGGAAUUUUGGACAAUGGGCGAAAGCCUGAUCCAGCCAUGCCGCGUGCAGGAUGAAGGCCUUCGGGUUGUAAACUGCUUUUGUACGGAACGAAAAGACUCUUUCUAAUAAAGAGGGUCCACGACGGUACCGUAAGAAUAAGCACCGGCUAACUACGUGCCAGCAGCCGCCGCGG
rnacentral:rRNA from 1 species